AAUAUACAGGAUGGAAUUUGAACACUUAACAGACAUUCUUUGGAGGCAAAGGUAAAGCCAGCUCACUGCUGGCCUGCCAAAACUCCCUCUCAGCAGUGUGAGGCGGCUGCUGGGUUGGUUACAGCCAGGGCAGCAGCCUGAAAGCCACAAAAACAUGAUAGGAAAAGCUUCCUGGAGAGAGCUGGGUCAGCUCCAGCCUAAUCCAGCCCCUGUGGGGAACGAAAUCCUGGCAGCUGUUGAGCUCAUGGGAUAACUGUGGGCACAUCCCGCUCCAACGGUGCGUGGUGGUGAGAAGUCCCCAGGCACUCCUGUGCUGCUCCACAGGAGCCCCUUCCUUCCUAGGGGAAAAUGUACAACAAAUAUCAGCAGCACAGGGACUUUGCAAUCCCACGUUCCACUCCCAAAGUGCAAAGUCUCCCUCGGAGCAAGCACAGGGAGCCAGCGGUGCUGCCCAGUUAGGAGCUGUCAGCAGCAGGCACGGCAGGCCCUGGAACUCCCAGCCUGCAUGGAAUGAGUUCCUUCCCCAAGAGCAGCUUUGCAGGAAUGCCAGAGGUAUUUUGGGGCUGGAUUGGCACUGGAUGCUUCCCUCUGCUCCUCUCUGACAACCCAGGCAGGUGCCUUCCUCUGAUGGACCCUCAUGCGAUGAGAAUUGCUGGAGCUCAGACACAAAAAAAGCAACAUGGUCUUCUCAAAGACUCAGGAUAAUCCUGGGAAAUUGCUUCCCUUGCUUCUGAGGUCUCCCAGCCAGCCCACCCCAUAUCCUAUUGUCCUGUGACUACAGAGGCCACUUGAGGUUUUCCCAUUUUCCCCCCAAAAUAUGAAAUAAAAGUGCAUUCUCAUAGAACAGCGGAAAAAUCAUUGGAUGCAAUGCAGCAUUUCCUGCAGCUUUCCACAGUUAGGAGUUUUCUUAGUUCUCAUGCCUUGCAAUGAUGAGAGGGAAAACCUCCCCUCCUGCUCCAUCAGAAACUUCAGAUGAAGCCAGUGCCUGGUCCAUGCAGUGGAAAAUCAAACAAAGAAUCCAUUCUAGGCACAAGCAUGUGGAUAAUUUUAGGAGUUCACAGCAUCAUAAAAUCCCAGAAUGGUUAGAGCAGAGACCUUAAAGCUCAUCCAGUGCCACCCUGCCAUGGCAGGGACACUUCCACCAUCCCAGGCUGCUCCAAACCCAUCCAACCUGCCCUUGGGCACUGCCAGGGAUCCAGGGGCAGCCACAGCUUCUCUGGGCACCUGUGCCAGGGCCUCUCACCCUCCCAGCCAGGAAUUCAGGCUCUUUUCUACACCUUGGCUCCCUCCUCUUCUGUUUAACCACCAAGGGGGUUUUCACCCACUGAAAGGCAGCUGGAGCUCCGGGAUCCUGUACGGAUCCAGGAGCUGUUGGUGGCACCCCUGGGGGAUUCCUCUCACCUGAAAACCUCUAACAAAAUCAAAGUGUUCUAAGUGUUACCAAUUUCCAAGCAUCACCGAUUUCCAUCUCACAGGACACCCAUUAAACCCUGCUGAAGCAUUUUUCCUAACUAAAGCUGUCUCGGAAGAUGCAGCUAAGAAAAGCAGGAACAGAGGAGCCAAGUGCAGCCUCUGGAAGGGAAAACUUGAGGCAAAGCAGGGGCCAGAGCCUGUUAAACCACUGUGAGACUCAGCAGUGACUCACACUUGGACUUUUUUUCCCCUCCUUUCUUAAGGAGGCCAGAGAUACCUGUUCUUAAGCAAGAGCAGAGCCACUUCCUGGCCAACCCCUUGCACACCCCAUUUCCCGCCCGUGCAAACCACCCUCCACAGAGCUGCCGGGGCUCUGACUCAGCCCUGCACCUUGCAGAGCUGACACAGGGUGAAAAUCACACCCCUCUGCUCUUGGGGUGCUCCCACUUCUGAGAGGGAGAUGGAUUGUGGGGCUCCACCUCGGCCUGAAGCCCCGGGAGCCUUUGCUCAGCCAGAAUUCCGAACACGAGCGCGCGCAGGACCUCAGAAGAGGAACUGAGUCAGUCAGCAGGGUGACACUCACUCACCAACAGCCCCUGGGAGCUGAUGCUUCCCCACGAGAUGAGGGGAAAGUUUUUGGUUUUUUUUUUUAACUUCCAGAAAGCACCAAAGCUGAGGGGAUUUCAGAUUGCCCACACUGAGCUGUCAGGUUGGACAGAUAUUAGAAGCAAAUCCAAGAUAAAAGCACAGCCUUGUGUUAGAGGGAAGUCUGAGUCACAGAGCUCACACCGGGGCUGCUUCCACAUCCACAGCGAGUUCUGUGCUCCUGGCAGUCCCUUCUGUGCCAUUCCCAAACCCCAGUGGGAAGGGAGGUCACCUCAGCUCCCCGGGCUCUCGCAGCCCUUGCGCCAGCUGUUCUGACAGCAUUUCUAAAGCGAGACACAUUCCCUCGGGAGGACUUGCAUUAUCAGGGAUAAUUUCCAAUUAGGAAUGGUGGGCAGAGCUUUUCCAAGGCCUGUCCAUGAGGACAGGGCCCUGUGAGUGGGGGCUGAGUCAGGCGUGCUCCGAUGGGGCACGAUAAGCGCCGGCAUUUUGAAAUGUGACUCACUGCUACAGCCAGAGAGACACACCGGUUCCCCUGCUUGUCUCCAGCUCCGAGGAGUUUAAUUAAGUCAGAGUAAGUUCAUUUGCACAGCCACACCCUGGACUGACAGCCAGGCAGAGCUGAACACCCUGGAAGGGGAAGGCUUCUGCACCCACCUGGCUGGAUAUUCAUGGAAUCACGGAAUGGUUUGGGUGGGGAGGGACCCCAAAGCUCAGCUCGUUCCAUAGGCAGGGAUGCUGCUCACUAGAGCAGGUAGUGAUGCUCCUGAGCAUUCCCAAAGCUUUGCAGCAAGGAAGGUGUUCCAGGGCUGGCACCUGUAGCUGUGGGAGCAGCCUCGGAGCGGAGCCCCGGCCGUGCCCUGUGCCAGCAGAGCAGAGCUGUGACCCCGCUGCCUGUCCCAGGGGAUGGCAGCUGUCACAGGAUCCAGAUCCCGCUGCUCCCAGCCCCCCGCAGCCCCAGCACCUGCCCAAGUCCUUUCAUCAGCUCACUCGUGUCCUGCUCAGGCACCACCGAGUCCAAACGUCACAUCUGUCACUCCACAAGCACCCCUAGUCACUCAUCAGCCCCUUUGUCCAUCCCUGCACGUGCCACACCGGCUCGUGGCUGCCCUUUCCAGGGAAUUUCCUCCCUGGAACACGGCAGUGACAGUCCCUCCGUGCCCUCACCUUCCCAAGUUACCUGGGGCUGGCACCGAGGCUGGAGAUCCCUGACAAUAAAGUUUGCUCAAGUGGGAAUAUUAAAGCAGCAUCCUUCUUUUCCACUAAUAAUCUCUCAUCUAAUUCUCAAAGGAAUUACAGCCAGGCUUCCAAUCUGGGAGAUCCAGAACAGAGCCCUCUUUAUGCCAGCACAACACCCAACUCUGGCACCAGAUUGCCCCUUCCUGCUUCUCUCAUAAUUCAAUACAAGUAACAUACCAGGAGAGCUCCGCUGUAUAAUUGCUUUAUUUUCUGCUUAUUAGUUCUUUACCAACACUACAGCCAUAUUGAGAACACAAAAUUCCUGGGAACUUCAGUCAGGGAGAUCACAGGCCACAAACUCAGUCACUUGGUCGGACACGAUUGAACGCCAUUCAAAACUUACUCCAUAAAUCACACGAACACAAAUCGAUGCACUUGGAAUUCCAGACUGGUUUGUUUGGUACAGAAUUCCCACUUUAUCCUACUGACAGCCACUCCCUCGUGCUGAGGUCCAGCUACAGCCUAGAAAGGACGUGUUGGAAGUGAAACCUGUGGGUUUUUGUUCGGUGGCCGCAGCCGUUUAUUUCUGACGGCUCUGCCACACGUUCCAGUAACUUUUUCUCCCCCAUCUCUUCCUCCCCACUCCCCCCCACCCCCCCAAAAAAAAAAUUUAAAAAUCCAGAAGCAAAAGCAAUUUCCUUUCACCUACAAAACAGAAUUACAAAGUUACUUCUAAGGGGAUACAAAACUGCAAAGUCAACUUAAUGCAAAGGCUGCCCCAGCGCUUGGAAACACAGGAAACCAACUCAGACAAAAAAUGAAGGUAUUGAAGUUUUCAUGUUGACUGAGAAUAGGUUUAAGAAAGUUCAAGAACCAUUAAUAGAGCUUCAAGUUUUCCAGUUUAGGCAUUUACUUUGUGCUUGGCUAUUUUAUUGAUGCUCCAGAAGAAAACAGUAACCAUAUUGUUGCAAUUUUAAGUUUUUAUACCACCAGACUGUUCAUUAAGUUACAGCAACAGGAAAAGAAAAAUAAAAGCUAGAAAAUAGAGCAAUGAUAUUCCAAUGGCAAAAAGCCUUGGAGUAAAAGAAACUAAUCUCACUUCCUCUUCUUUAGGGCUGAGAUGGAAGAGUUAUUUCUACAUUAGGCUUCUGCAGAGUCUCUCUAAUUCACAAAGUCCAUCAAUGCUCUAUCUUCUAGCACCAAGAACCCAUCCAGUCCCAUUUGCAACCCACAUCCAGAAAAGUCUUUUUUUGGAACCAUACUCUAAAAGGACUUUGAAGUGCUCCAUAGCAUUGGAUUUCAGAAGUGAAUUCAGGAUUUUUAUCUUCCCAUACAUCUUUGGUAAGAGCUCCAUGUGUACAAUGUACUCAGCAUGCAGAGUCACCACUGCAGCAAUGUAGUGUAAUGCCCCCAGUUCCAUGUAAAACUUAUAUUAUUGAAAAGAGAAAACAAUUAAGAAAAAAAAAAAAAA
rnacentral:lncRNA from 1 species